rnacentral:rRNA from 1 species
AUUGAACGCUGGCGGUAGGCCUAACACAUGCAAGUCGAGCGGAUGAAGGGAGCUUGCUCCUGGAUUCAGCGGCGGACGGGUGAGUAAUGCCUAGGAAUCUGCCUGGUCGUGGGGGAUAACGUCCGGAAACGGGCGCUAAUACCGCAUACGUCCUGAGGGAGAAAGAGGGGGAUCUUCGGACCUCACGCUAUCAGAUGAGCCUAGGUCGGAUUAGCUAGUUGGUGGGGUAAAGGCCUACCAAGGCGACGAUCCGUAACUGGUCUGAGAGGAUGAUCAGGCACACUUGAACUGAGACACGGUCCAGACUCGUACGGGAGGCAGCAGUGGGGAAUAUUGGACGAUGCGCGAAAGCCUGAUCCAGCCAUGCCGCGUGUGUGAAGAAGGUCUUCGGAGUGUAAAGCACUUUAAGUUGGGAUGAAGGGCAGUAAGUUAAUACCUUGCUGUUUUGACGUUACCAACAGAAUAAGCACCGGCUAACUUCGUG